CUGGUUGAUCCUGCCAGUAGCAUAUGCUUGUCUCAAAGAUUAAGCCAUGCAAGUCUAAGUACACACGGCCGGUACAGUGAAACUGCGAAUGGCUCAUUAAAUCAGUUAUGGUUCCUUUGAUCGCUCUAACGUUACUUGGAUAACUGUGGCAAUUCUAGAGCUAAUACAUGCCAACGAGCGCUGACCUUCGGGGAUGCGUGCAUUUAUCAGACCCAAAACCCAUGCGGGGUGCCUCUCGGGGUGCCCCGGCCGCUUUGGUGACUCUAGAUAACCUCGAGCCGAUCGCUGGCCCUCGUGGCGGCGACGUCUCAUUCGAAUGUCUGCCCUAUCAACUUUC
rnacentral:rRNA from 1 species